CUCUCAUGCCUUCUGCAGAGCGGCUGGCAGCAUUGAUGGGACACACAUUAGAAUCAAGCCACCUGCAGCAAACAAAGAAGACUACCUUAACAGGAAGCUCUUCCAUUCAGCUGCUGGUGGUGUGUGAUCACAAAGGCCGCUUCCUUAAUACAUAUACAGGACUUCCAGGCUCUGUCCACGAUGCAGGGUCCUGCGGUGGAGUUCUCUGUACGUACACCAACUCUACCCC